UUGACGUUUGAUGUACGUGACAGUUACCAAUUUUUGAAAAUACAUUAGUCUUUCCUUCUUCUUCUUCGUGGGUAUAAAGAGUUAGGUUUAUUUUAGGGCAGUUGUUAUUUUCUUUUUCUUCUUCAAAUUUUCUUCUUCUUCUUCUCAUUUUCUUCUUGUUCUUCGAUUUUUCUUCUUCUUCUUCCCAUUUUUUUUUGUUCUUCACAUUUUCUUUGGGAGAGGAAACUGUAGUACUUUCAGAGUUGGUGCACUUGGUUUUGUUUGUCUCCGGCUCCUUCUCCGAACGAGGUGGGUUUGUACAAGCCUUAAAUCUGCUUAUUCAAGAAGUUUUGAUUCACGGGUUGCAGAAAAUUGAAGGUUCAUCAUACAUGGCUGGGAAACGCAAAAGGAAAGGGGGAAAUGAACCCGUAAAGAAGGAUGUCACCCCCGAGCCGAACGAUAAUGCGGUUGGUUGGAGAAAUUUCUUGUAAGUUUUGAAUGAUGGAUAGUUGUUUACUCGUGUGAUUGAUGGUUAACAUUUAUUUUAUUAUAUAUUUGAUUGAAAUUAUGUCCAUAUGUAGCAAUGCGAACUACAAAGCCCUUCGAGCAGCUGAGAAGGGAUUAACUGAGAAAGAGGUUUGAUGUCGACUGUUACUUAAUUUUUUUAUAUCAAUUGUCUGUAAUUGACCUAGGGUUGUUUGACGUACUUUACGAUUCUUUCCAUGUACUCUGUAGUUGAUGUAAGUUUGCCUCAUAUUACAGGCUACCGACAAAUUAAAAGUGCAAU